rnacentral:rRNA from 1 species
AGAGUUUGAUCCUGGCUCAGGAUGAACGCUAGCGGCAGGCUUAACACAUGCAAGUCGAGGGGCAGCGCGGGUAGCAAUACUUGGCGGCGACCGGCGAAAGGGUGAGUAACGCGUGAGCAACAUACCCGUUGAUGGGGGAUAGGAGGUGGAAACGCCUUGUAAUACCCCAUAUGAUACGAAGUGGCAUCACAUUGUAUUGAAAGAUUUAUUGUCAACGGAUUGGUUCGCGUGCCAUUACGUGCCGACGAUGGCUAGGGGUUCUGAGAGGAAGGUCCCCCACAUUGGAACUGAGACACGGUCCAGACUCCUACGGGAGGCAGCAGUGAGGAAUAUUGGUCAAUGGCCGGAAGGCUGAACCAGCCAUGCCGCGUGAAGGAAGAAGGCCCUAUGGGUCGUAAACUUCUUUUGAUGUGGAGCAAUAAGGGCCACGUGUGGUCCGAUGAGAGUACACGUCGAAUAAGCAUCGGCUAACUCCGUGCCAGCAGCCGCGGUAAUACGGAGGAUGCGAGCGUUAUCCGGAUUUAUUGGGUUUAAAGGGUGCGUAGGCGGUCGGGUAAGCGUAGGGUGAAAGUCCUCUGCUCAACAGGGGAAGUGCCUUCCGAACUGUCCGACUUGAAUUCUCCUGCCGUGGGAGGAAUGUGUGGUGUAGCGGUGAAAUGCAUAGAGAUCACACAGAACACCGAUUGCGAAGGCAUCUCACGAAGGGGCGAUUGACGCUGAGGCACGAAAGCGUGGGGAUCAAACAGGAUUAGAUACCCUGGUAGUCCACGCAGUAAACGAUGAUGACUAACCGUCGGUCCAGUCGGAUCGGUGGCCAAGCGAAAGCGAUAAGUCAUCCACCUGGGGAGUACGACCGCAAGACUCAAAGGAAUUGACGGGGGCCCGCACAAGCGGAGGAACAUGUGGUUUAAUUCGAUGAUACGCGAGGAACCUUACCCGGGCUCGAACGGUGCAGGAAGAGAUCAGGAGACUGUGACGCCCUUCGGGGCCUGCAUCGAGGUGCUGCAUGGUUGUCGUCAGCUCGUGCCGUGAGGUGUCGGCUCAAGUGCCAUAACGAGCGCAACCCUUGCCGUCAGUUGCCAUCAGGUAGAGCUGGGGACUCUGACGGGACUGCCACCGCAAGGUGUGAGGAAGGGGGGGAUGACGUCAAAUCAGCACGGCCCUUACGUCCGGGGCGACACACGUGUUACAAUGGCGGCCACAG